GUAGGUGGCAAGCGUUGUCCGGAAUUAUUGGGCGUAAAGCGCGCGCAGGCGGUUCUUUAAGUCUGAUGUGAAAGCCCACGGCUCAACCGUGGAGGGUCAUUGGAAACUGGAGAACUUGAGUACAGAAGAGGAAAGCGGAAUUCCACGUGUAGCGGUGAAAUGCGUAGAGAUGUGGAGGAACACCAGUGGCGAAGGCGGCUUUCUGGUCUGUAACUGACGCUGAGGCGCGAAAGCGUGGGGAGCAAACAGGAUUAGAUACCCUGGUAGUCCACGCCGUAAACGAUGAGUGCUAAGUGUAGGGGGUUUCCGCCCCCUUAGUGCUGCAGCUAACGCAUUAAGCACUCCGCCUGGGAUACGGCCGCAAGGCUG
rnacentral:rRNA from 1 species